GCUUCCGGUUUUUUCCUCAGGCUUCCGGUCUGUUUGGUGCCCUGGUCGCGUGUCUUCCGAACUCUGCUGCUUCGCCCCGGCAAGAGCACUUCCUUCCGCGGCUGCUAAAACUGGUGCGCGGGUUCCCAACUUCGCAGAAGAGCUUCAUCGGCCCCCCGCUAGAGACCUCAGACCGCAGCCAUCGACGCCUCGCCUCGGGGAUCUGUCCCCACCCUCGGGGCCAGCUCACCAUGAGUCAGGCCCUGUGCUAGGUGCUGGGAUGAAGCAGUGACUGACACAGGCCUGGACCUGUCCUUGGGAAGAGUGCGUCUGUGACACAGAUACUGUGCCAUGUGGCAAAGUAAGCGCGUGGGACAGCAGAGCCUUGUUUGCCAUUAAAGUAAUAUCACAAGUCUGUUAAGGUUGGAGAAUCAAGUGAACAUGCUGAAAAGUUAUGGGGAAUGUAGUCUCAUAGCUGGGGGAGCUGGGGGCCUUGUCAAUUGGUUCCCCCAGUCUGGAGAGCAAUCUGAGAGUAAGUAGUGACACUGUGUGUGCUGAGUGUGUCUGUGGGGGUGUUUUUGGAUAAAAUUAACAUUUGAAUUUGUGAACUGAGUGAAGCAGAGUGCCCUUCAUAAUGUGGGUGGGCCUCAUUCAAUUAGUUCAAGGCCCGCAUAGGAACCACCUCCUGCCUGACUGAACCGGGACCUACGUCUUUUCUUGCCUUCAGACUUGAAUGGAGACAUCAGCUCUUUGUGGGUCUCAAGUCUACUGGCUUUCAAUCAGCUCUUCUGCUUGACAGCUGCAGGUCUUGGGACUGCCCAGCCCCCAUAACCCUGUGAGUGCAUUCCUGAUAAUAACCCUCUUUCUCUUGUCCUCCCCCACCCCACAUCAUUGGUUCUGUUUCUCUGGAGAACCAUAAUACAUCAUUUACUAAUCAGGAAAUAGAUUCAGAGACAUUAAUAACUCAUCCAACCUCACAGUUAACUGUAGAGUUGGGCUUGAAAUUCCAAGGUCGAUUUUCUUAGCCAAUACACCAUGCUACAUAUAUGUAUGUAAAAAUAAAAACGCUUGUGAACUGAAAA
ensembl:lncRNA MINCR MYC-induced long non-coding RNA